UCACCGGUUCUCUUUAGAACCACAAGAGUAGAAUUUUGAAGCUAGU
rfam:Schistosoma mattheei strain Denwood, Zambia genome assembly, scaffold: SMTD_scaffold0001243